rnacentral:rRNA from 1 species
UACGAAGGUGGCAAGCGUUGUUCGGAUUUACUGGGCGUACAGGGAGCGUAGGCGGUUGGGUAAGCCCUCCGUGAAAUCUCCGGGCCUAACCCGGAAAGUGCGGAGGGGACUGCUCGGCUAGAGGAUGGGAGAGGAGCGCGGAAUUCCCGGUGUAGCGGUGAAAUGCGUAGAUAUCUGGAGGAAUACCGGUGGCGAAGGCGGCAUCCUGGACCGGCAUUGACGCUGAUGAGCGAAAGCUAGGGGAGCAAACAGG